UGUUUUCCGAGGAAAAGGCCAUUUGGCCUUUUCUAUUUCUUUCGGAGAGGCGGUGCCUCUCCUCCUUAUUUUUUUCUCUUAUGGAUUUUAUAGAAAAUCCUUGAUCUGCGAAGAUCCAACGGUCCGAUCUUCGAUCCGACUUCGGUAACGUGAUCUACGAAGCCCGAUCUACGUUUCUACCGAUCAUUUUGAGGUAAUGGAUUACUUGGAACUUGUUUGAGGCUACCCAAACCAUGAGUUUUGGUUUGGUGAAAUUUUGUAAUGCAUUGUAUGGUGGUGUCUAGGAGACCUAGUGCUUAAUAUCCGCGCAGCCAGACAUUGAUACUUUGGUUGCAGGUUUUGCGGAUAUAGAUAUUGACUCGUCCACCUAGCGUGUGAGAUACUAUGAUUGGAGCAUAUCGCGAUAGUCAUAAGUCACGGACUCAUGGGUAGUCCGCAUUUUGGGUAUUUUAUCCAUGGCUCGUGUCCUAUAUGGCACAUGUAUUUGUUGAGCCUAUAUUUUAGAAUGUAAUUAGUAUAAUAUGUUAUAUAAGCCUUAAAUAGAUAGAUGUGUAAAUGGCUCUUGAUGUAAUUAACAGUUGUGUAUUAGAUGUACUUCCGCUUAUGAUAUGUGUUUCGCUGCACAUUGAUUACUAUGUUCCGCUGUUAAAUGUAACUCUGAUUAUCAGGUACAUGUAUGGAACGUGUACGUUAUGUUGGCUGAGCGACA